CACACACACACACACACACACACACACACACACACACACACACACACACACACACACACACACACACACACACGUUUAAUUACAUUUCUGUCAUUUACAGCCAAUAAUAAUCAUGUGCAUACGCUAAGUGGUCUGAACAGUAACAUGCAACUGGGCUGAUUGCAUGCAUUUUCUAUCAGUCAAUCAAUCAAUCAAUCAAUGAAAUGUAUUUAUGAAGUCCUUUUUACAUCAGCCGAUGUCACAAAGUGCUAUACAGAAACCCACCCCAAAACCCCAAACAGCAAGCAAUGCAGAUGUAGAAGUUAUUGAGUAAAUAUGGUGAGAGCAAAGGAAGAGGGGGAAGGUGCCUGUUGAAGUACAGAUAGAGGGCCGUGGUGAUGUUGAAGUGCAGAUAGAGGGCCGCGGUGGUGUUGAAGUACAGAUAGAGGGCCGUGGUGAUGUUGAAGUGCAGAUAGAGGGCCGCGGUGAUGUUGAAGUGCAGAUAGAGGGCCGCGGUGGUGUUGAAGUGCAGAUAGAGGGCCGUGGUGGUGUUGAAGUGCAGAUAGAGGGCCGUGGUGGUGUUGAAGUGCAGGUAGAGGGCUGCGGUGGUGUUGAAGUGCAGAUAGAGGGCCGUGGUGGUGUUGAAGUGCAGAUAGAGGGCCCUGGUGGUGUUGAAGUGCAGAUAGAGGGCCCUGGUGGUGUUGAAGUGCAGAUAGAGGGCCGUGGUGGUGUUGAAGUGC
rnacentral:lncRNA from 1 species